rnacentral:rRNA from 1 species
GACAGAGGGGGCAAGCGUUGCUCGGAAUUACUGGGCGUAAAGGGCGCGUAGGCGGGAUGGCAAGUCGGUCGUGAAAUCCUUCGGCUCAACCGAAGAACGUCGAUCGAUACUGCUGUUCUUGAGGGUUGCAGAGGAGACUGGAAUUCCCGGUGUAGCGGUGAAAUGCGCAGAUAUCGGGAAGAACACCCGUGGCGAAGGCGGUUCUCUGGGACGGUACUGACGCUGAGACGCGAAAGCGUGGGGAGCGAACAGG